rnacentral:rRNA from 1 species
AGAGUUUGAUCCUGGCUCAGGACGAACGCUGGCGGCGCGCCUAACACAUGCAAGUCGAACGGAGCUUGAAGAGCUUGCUUUUUAAGCUUAGUGGCGAACGGGUGAGUAACGCGUGAGUAACCUGCCCUGGAGUGGGGGACAACAGUUGGAAACGACUGCUAAUACCGCAUAAGCCCACGGAUCCGCAUGGAUCUGCGGGAAAAGGAUUUAUUCGCUCUAGGAUGGACUCGCGUCCAAUUAGCUAGUUGGUGAGGUAACGGCCCACCAAGGCGACGAUUGGUAGCCGGACUGAGAGGUUGAACGGCCACAUUGGGACUGAGACACGGCCCAGACUCCUACGGGAGGCAGCAGUGGGGGAUAUUGCACAAUGGGGGAAACCCUGAUGCAGCGACGCCGCGUGGAGGAAGAAGGUCUUCGGAUUGUAAACUCCUGUUGUUGAGGAAGAUAAUGACGGUACUCAACAAGGAAGUGACGGCUAACUACGUGCCAGCAGCCGCGGUAAAACGUAGGUCACAAGCGUUGUCCGGAAUUACUGGGUGUAAAGGGAGCGCAGGCGGGAAGACAAGUUGGAAGUGAAAUCUAUGGGCUCAACCCAUAAACUGCUUUCAAAACUGUUUUUCUUGAGUAGUGCAGAGGUAGGCGGAAUUCCCGGUGUAGCGGUGGAAUGCGUAGAUAUCGGGAGGAACACCAGUGGCGAAGGCGGCCUACUGGGCACCAACUGACGCUGAGGCUCGAAAGUGUGGGUAGCAAACAGGAUUAGAUACCCUGGUAGUCCACACCGUAAACGAUGAUUACUAGGUGUUGGAGGAUUGACCCCUUCAGUGCCGCAGUUAACACAAUAAGUAAUCCACCUGGGGAGUACGACCGCAAGGUUGAAACUCAAAGGAAUUGACGGGGGCCCGCACAAGCAGUGGAGUAU